UCUCCGUAGGUGAACCUGCGGAAGGAUCAUUAACGAGUUAGGGUCUCUCUGGCCCGACCUCCCAACCCUUUGUCUACUUGACCAUCGUUGCUUCGGCGAGCCCGUCCUCACGGACCGCCGGAGGGAUCCUUACUGGCCCUCUGGUCCGCGCUCGUCGGUAGCCCAACCUUUAAAAUCUUUAACUAAACGUGCCUUAAUCUAAGUACAAUUAUUAAAUAAAAGCAAAACUUUCAACAACGGAUCUCUUGGUUCUG
rnacentral:misc_RNA from 1 species